GAUGCGGGUGAAGGUGGUCUGUCUCUGGCCAUCGAAGGUCCCUCCAAAGCUGAGAUCGGCUGCACCGAUAACCAGGACGGCACCUGUACCGUGUCCUACCUUCCAGUUCUGCCCGGUGACUAUAACAUCCUGGUGAAAUACAAUGACAAACACAUCCCGGGGAGUCCCUUCACUGCCAAGAUUACGGGAGACGACACCAUGCGGAUGUCCCACCUCAAAGUGGGCUC